ACAGAAACUAUAGACACAAAUACAUUUAAAUUGACUUUGUGUUAUUCAGUAAAGCUCAUAAUAAUGGCUAUUAAACAAAAGAUCAGACUUCACCAACUAAGACCAAGAUAAGACCAAAAUCCAGACAAGACCUAACACGAAGACAAAGACUAAAAGGUGGAGUGAGCGUUUCCAGCUUUCUUGCUCUUGUACCAGAUAGUCACGCAGUCUUCUUGUAACCUGAAGUACCGCUGCUUCUUCCAUGUCCGAGAUUUGAUUUUUCUCAUCACUGUACCCACGAUCAUAGACUUCAGGUCAUCAUCAUCUUGGAUACCUGAUCAGUACGGGGAUAAAGAGGAUCGAGGAGCGUUCAGACAAAAGAACCACGAUCCAGGAGAAGCCGGAGUCAUGUGGCCCUGGCCUGACUGCUGCGGAGCCGAUCUGACCGUCCUCCACAUCUCGCCACAGCUGAUCGUACCACAACACACCUCCCCUAUGACGCACAACA